rnacentral:misc_RNA from 1 species
GAUGAAGAACGUAGCGAAAUGCGAUAAGUAAUGUGAAUUGCAGAAUUCAGUGAAUCAUCGAAUCUUUGAACGCACAUUGCGCCCAUUAGUAUUCUAGUGGGCAUGCCUAUUCGAGCGUCAUUAAGUCCACUUAAGCCCUGCUUAGUGUUGGGAGACUGCUCCAGCGGUGCUACCCUGUAGCUACCCUGCAGCUCCUCAAAGACAGCGGCGGAGUUGUGGUAUCCUCUGAGCUUAGUAACUUGUUCUAGCUUUCGAGUACACCACUUCCCCUGCCGUAAAACCCUUAAUUUUUAAUGGUUGACCUCGGAUCAGGUAGGAAUACCCGCUGAACUUAAGCAUAUCAAUAAGCGGAGGA